rnacentral:pre_miRNA from 14 species
GUCUCCGGAGAUGAGGGUGGUUGCCAAUCCUGGACGAGCGGCCAAGUGAAAGACCCCCUGGAGCAAGGAGACCCUCACUCAUGUCUCAGAAUGACACAACCUCCCAAGAACUCAUGUAAGACC